GUAUGCUCCAGAGCAGCACCAGGAUUUGCACUGUGACGGUCAGCAUCUAUUUCUUCCUUGUGACAAGAGGAGACCUUCUCUACUUGUAUUGGCUGCGUUCAUUCCUCUGCCCGCUCCCAGGGACACAAGCUGGGAUUUCUACAAGAACGACCAUUAAAUUUUCUUUUUACAUCAUGCCUCAACAGUGGUAAAACUUAGCUCUACGUUUAGUAGGUUUUUUUUGCUUCUGCAGAGCUCAGUCUAUGUGUGAAACGGGUCCUUCCCUCCCAUGUUCUCUGCCUGCCUUUUGUCUGUAGAAAAACUUCAGCCAAGAACAAGUUUAAUCAGAGAAGUGAAAAAAUACAAAAGCAGAGGAAAACAGUCAAAUGGGACAAAACAAAAAUAGUCAGGAAGCUGAGUCAAGGACCUUUAGUUCUUCCUCCAGUGCUAUAGAGGAUAUUCUGAGCCAUCUCCUGUGAGCUGUCCUGUAGAUACUGAAACCCCUACCAGGUGGAGAAGUUAACCAUUGGUGCAUAAUGACCAGAGUGUAGCUAUGACAUAAGCUGCCACAGUUCCAAGAACUGGCCUCAAGGAAAUGGGAACAAGCCGACCCUGGAAUUGAAGAUUAAUGUACUUGAGACAAUCCGGGUGACGCUGCUCAGACCACUGAAGACCAAUCACCAGAUGACAGUCAGAGCUGACUGCUGUUUCUGUGAGGAGUCCCUCCCUCUGUCCAUGAACGCUCUUGCCACCGAUUGUCAGUAAAGUGGGGGAAGUCAGCUUUUGGACAGGUGUCCACCCUCCCCCCCAACCCCUGUUGCUGGCAUCCAGAAUAAAACAAACUUUCCUUU
ensembl:lncRNA